CGUUCUGUGGCUUAGUUGAAUAAAGCACCUGACUAGCGAUACGCAGUCGUGGGUUCAAAUCCUACCAAGACAA
rnacentral:tRNA from 1 species